rnacentral:rRNA from 1 species
AGGACGAACGCUGGCGGCGUGCUUAACACAUGCAAGUCGAGCGGAAAGGCCACUUCGGUGGUACUCGAGCGGCGAACGGGUGAGUAACACGUGAGUAAUCUGCCCCUGGCUUUGGGAUAGCCACCGGAAACGGUGAUUAAUACCGAAUAUGACAGACCCUCGCAUGGGGGUGUGUGGAAAGUUUUUCGGCCAGGGGUGUGCUCGCGGCCUAUCAGCUUGAUGGUGAGGUAAUGGCUCACCAUGGCUUCGACGGGUAGCCGGCCUGAGAGGGUGACCGGUCACACUGGGACUGAGACACGGCCCAGACUCCUACGGGAGCAGCAGUGGGAAUAUGGACAAUGGGCGAAGCCUGAUCCAGCAACGCCGCGUGAGGAUGACGGCCUUCGGGUGUAACCUCUUCAGUACCGACGAAGCGCAAGUGACGGUAGGUACAGAAGAAGCACCGGCCAACUACGUGCCAAGCACGCCGAC